CGUAGGCAGCAAGCGUUGUUCGGAAUUACUGGGCGUAAAGAGUGUGUAGGCGGUGUUCUAAGUCUGUCGUGAAAUCUCCCGGCUUAACCGGGAGGGUGCGGCGGAAACUGGAAUGCUUGAGGGUGGGAGAGGUAAGCGGAAUUCCUGGUGUAGCGGUGAAAUGCGUAGAUAUCAGGAGGAACACCUGUGGUGUAGACAGCUUACUGGACCACUUCUGACGCUGAGACACGAAAGCGUGGGUAGCAAACAGGAUUAGAUACCCUGGUAGUCCACGCCCUAAACGAUGCAUACUUGGUGUGAGCCAUUCAUUUGGUUCGUGCCGGAGUUAACGCGUUAAGUAUGCCGCCUGGGGAGUACGGUCGCAAGGCUG
rnacentral:rRNA from 1 species